rnacentral:rRNA from 1 species
AUUGAACGCUGGCGGCAGGCCUAACACAUGCAAGUCGAGCGGUAGAGAGGUGCUUGCAUCUCUUGAGAGCGGCGGACGGGUGAGUAAUGCCUAGGAAUCUGCCUAGUGGUGGGGGAUAACGUUCGGAAACGGACGCUAAUACCGCAUACGUCCUACGGGAGAAAGCGGGGGAUCUUCGGACCUCGCGCCAUUAGAUGAGCCUAGGUCGGAUUAGCUAGUUGGUGAGGUAAUGGCUCACCAAGGCGACGAUCCGUAACUGGUCUGAGAGGAUGAUCAGUCACACUGGAACUGAGACACGGUCCAGACUCCUACGGGAGGCAGCAGUGGGGGAAUAUUGGACAAUGGGCGAAAGCCUGAUCCAGCCAUGCCGCGUGUGUGAAGAAGGUCUUCGGAUUGUAAAGCACUUUAAGUUGGGUAGGAAGGGCAGUAAGUUAAUACCUUGCUGUUUGUACGUUACCAACAGAAUAAG